GCGUGCGCUGGGCGAGGUCUUCGUGUCCGAUUCUGUCGCCGAGGGCGACUCCACCUUCUAUGCCGCCGUGCAGAUCCCGCGCGCGCACA
rnacentral:tRNA from 1 species